GACGAACGCUGGCGGCGUGCUUAACACAUGCAAGUCGAACGGAAAGGCCCUGCUUUUGUGGGGUGCUCGAGUGGCGAACGGGGGAGUAACACGUGAGUAACCUGCCCUUGACUUUGGGAUAACUUCAGGAAACUGGGGCUAAUACCGGAUAGGAGCUCCUGCUGCAUGGUGGGGGUUGGAAAGUUUCGGCGGUUUGGGAUGGAUUCGCGGCUUAUCAGCUUGUUGGUGGGGUAGUGGCUUACCAAGGCUUUGACGGGUAGCCGGCCUGAGAGGGUGACCGGCCACAAUGGGACUGAGAUACGGCCCAGACUCCUACGGGAGGCAGCAGUCGAGAAUAUUGCACAAUGGGCGGAAGCCUGAUGCAGCAACGCCGCGUGCGGGAUGACGGCCUUCGGGUUGUAAACCGCUUUCGCCUGUGACGAAGCGUGAGUGACGGUAAUGGGUAAAGAAGCACCGGCUAACUACGUG
rnacentral:rRNA from 1 species